UGCAGUCGAGCGCACUCUUCGGAGUGAGCGGCGGACGGGUUAGUAACGCGUGGGAACGUACCCAGAUCUACGGAAUAGCCUCGGGAAACUGAGAGUAAUACCGUAUACGCCCUUCGGGGGAAAGAUUUAUCGGAUUUGGAUCGGCCCGCGUUAGAUUAGAUAGUUGGUGAGGUAACGGCUCACCAAGUCUACGAUCUAUAGCUGGUUUUAGAGGAUGAUCAGCAACACUGGGACUGAGACACGGCCCAGACUCCUACGGGAGGCAGCAGUGGGGAAUCUUGGACAAUGGGCGCAAGCCUGAUCCAGCCAUGCCGCGUGAGUGAUGAAGGCCUUAGGGUCGUAAAGCUCUUUCGCCAGAGAUGAUAAUGACAGUAUCUGGUAAAGAAACCCCGGCUAACUCCGUGCCAGCAGCCGCGGUAAUACGGAGGGGGUUAGCGUUGUUCGGAAUUACUGGGCGUAAAGCGCACGUAGGCGGAUCAGAAAGUUGGGGGUGAAAUCCCAGGGCUCAACCCUGGAACUGCCUCCAAAACUCCUGGUCUUGAGUUCGAGAGAGGUGAGUGGAAUUCCGAGUGUAGAGGUGAAAUUCGUAGAUAUUCGGAGGAACACCAGUGGCGAAGGCGGCU
rnacentral:rRNA from 1 species